CAAUAGCGUAUACUAAAGUUGUUGCGAUUAAAAAGCUCGUAGUUGGAUCUCAGGCAUGGGCGCACGGUCCGCCUCGCGGCGGUCACUGUGUGUUUUGUUUCCCAUCCUACGCUUCCCGGUUAUCAGCCCAUGGUGCUCUUCACUGAGCGUUUUGGGUGGCCGGAACGUUUACUUUGGAGAAAUUAGAGUGUUCAAAGCAGGCACGUCGCCUGAAUAAUGGUGCAUGGAAUAAUGGAAUAGGACCUCGGUUCUAUUUUGCUGGUUUUCGGAACACGAGGUAAUGAUUAAGAGGGACAGACGGGGGCAUCCGUAUUGCGGUGUUAGAGGUGAAAUUCUUGGAUCAUCGCAAGACGAACAACUGCGAAAGCAUUUGCCAAGCAUGUUUUCAUUAG
rnacentral:rRNA from 1 species